UGAUCCUGAAAUCUGCUCCUACAUUCAUCCCAGUCAUCAGUCACAUAGACGGUGUCUUGUCCUGCUCCUGAAAUCUGCUCCUACAUUCAUCCCAGUCAUCAGUCACAUAGAGGGUGUCUUGUCCUGCUCCUGAAAUCUGCUCCUACAUUCAUCCCAGUCAUCAGAAACAGAGCAUUGGGGUAGCUGCAUGUCUGACAUCCAAUGUACGCAAUUACAAUGAGAAUUUUAAAAUGGUUAGGUGGCCAUGGUGUAAUAAAAUGUUUUGCCUCGUGUGGUUGGUUUUGUGGGCUUUGACACUUUUAUGUAGGUGUCAUAACCAGCCAUACAAUAACAACUGUUGUGGGUUUUGACACUUAUGUAGGUGUUAUAACCAGACAUUAAAUAAUGCAAUGUGUGUCACAACAGGUCUAAAUGUGUUUCAUGACAAGUUGUGAGCGGCAGGUUGGGCCGGUAACCGAAAGGUUGCUAGAUGGAAUCCCCCGAGCUGACAAGGUAAAAAUCUGUUGUUCUGCCCCCUGACAACAAUGCAGUUUAACCCACUGUUCCCCUGAGAACAAGGCAGUUUAACCCACUGUUCCCCUGAGAACAAGGUAGUUUAACCCACUGUUCCCCUGAGAACAAGGUAGUUUAACCCACUGUUCCCCUGAACAAGGCAGUUUAACCCACUGUUCCCCUGAGAACAAGGCAGUUUAACCCACUGUUCCCCUGAGAACAAGGUAGUUUAACCCACUGUUCCCCUGAACAAGGCAGUUUAACCCACUGUUCCCCUGAGAACAAGGCAGUUUAACCCACUGUUCCCCUGAGAACAAGGCAGUUUAACCCACUGUUCCCCCGAGAACAAGGCAGUUAACCCACUGUUCCCCUUCUAAGCCGUCAUUGUAAAUAAUAAUUUGUUCUUAACUGACUUGCCUGGUUAAAUAAAUAAAUAAAUGAAAUGUCAUCUUUUAUGACAAUACGUAUUAUGAUGCUGGGAGUCAAAUGUCAUCACCAUUUGGAUAUUAGAGCGAUGAUGUCAGUCACACCAGAUUGUCUUUGUCUGUCUGUCUGCAACACGGAGCUUCUCAAAUCAUGUUACUGUUCCUGCCAAAAGGAACUGUCCGUCCGUCCUUCUGUGACACUGUGGGCUUCUCAGAUAGAGAUGUGACACUGUGGGCUUCUCAGAUAGAGAUGUGACACUGUGGGCUUCUCAGAUAGAGAUGUGACAUUGUGAGCUUCUCAGAUAGAGAUGUGACACGGUGAGCUUCUUCGAUAGAGACGUGACACUGUGAGCUUCUCAGAUAGAGAUGUGACACGGUGAGCUUCUUCGAUAGAGACGUGACACUGUGAGCUUCUCAGAUAGAGAUGCAAUUUUUGGGGGGGGUUUAAUUGACAAGAACUGUGACCACAUGACGCGAUGGACACACGUUAGAAUGUUACCAAAUACUGUUACAUGUUCUGCCAAUCAGGUCUGUUCUCUUCUCAGGCCCUCCUCUCUGUUUCAUCCUGGCACCAACAUAUAUCCCUACGGUCCUACACUGUGGAGUGAGUCCUGUCUACUGAGGCGAUGUUAUGUCACUAUUAGAUCAAUUACAUUUGAUUGAUGUGUUUUGUGUUGCUCAUUAGUGUUAUGAGAGAGUGAUGUGUUUGUAUUGCUCAUUAGUGUUAUGAGAGAAUGAUGUGUUUGUGUUGCUCAUUAGUGUUAUGAGAGAAUGAUGUGUUUUGUGUUGCUCAUUAGUGUUAUGAGAGAAUGAUGUGUUUGUGUUGCUCAUUAGUGUUAUGAGAGAAUGAUGUGUUUUGUGUUGCUCAUUAGUGUUAUGAGAGAAUGAUGUGUUUGUGUUGCUCAUUAGUGUUAUGAGAGAAUGAUGUGUUUGUGUUGCUCAUUAGUGUUAUGAGAGAGUGAUGUGUUUUGUGUUGCUCAGUAGUGUUAUGAGAGAAUGAUGUGUUUGUGUUGCUCAUUAGUGUUAUGAGAGGAUGAUGUGUAUUCUAAGCUUUUACCCAAAGAACUUUCACUUCACACCUUUUUACAAGCUGGAGGCUUGUAUUUUUCAUAUUUUCUGUAUGUAUUUUCUAUGUAUUGCUUUUGUAUACAACACAGACUGUAUUACUACAGUAUUAGUGUUUUUUAUGAUUUAUUACGAUUUCAGGAUGAUCAUCUAUAAACAUCAGGGAACCAUGUUUAGUUUAGAAUGCUGGUUUAUUAUUGUAUUAAAUAAAACAUUUGAGUUUGUAUGAUAAACGUCUGAACUACCAUUCCCCUGCUGUGAGUUUAAUGUGUCAACUGUACCAGGAUCCUGGAAAGAAAUGAAACCCUUUAACUUUCAAUAUAUUUACCAAGAACUGGACAAAAGAUGGGAAAACAACCGCUAGAUUGUAACUGUGCGUAAAGUAAAGUUGUGAGGCUUUAGCUCUUAAAUGUUUUUCGUGGAAGAAGUUUCUGAUUUUAGAUUUGAAUGGCAGAAAACAUUUGUGGAAGAUUUUCAUACUCGUCUAACUUGUUGGGAAAGUGGUCAGAAUGUCCUUUCAAACAGUCUGGAAGAAAAGCAGUUGGUUCGCUUCCUCAAACAGGUGGUGGCAUUCUUGAUCGGUAAAAGUUAUUUUCGUUCUGAUUUUGAGAUUUCAGUAGCGGAGAGGAGGAUGUCAGACCUUCUAGCACGUCCAACCUGUUGGGGGAAGUGGACCAAGCUGUUUUGUGUCAAAAGUCACAAUAGCCUGAAAAGUUGACACACAACUCGUCACACAGCCUGACACUCAGCCCGACACUCAGCCCGACACUCAGCCUGACACUCAACCCGACACUCAACCCGACACUCAAC
ensembl:lncRNA